GGUCUUCAAGGGAGCCGGCCCUGAGCCAUCUUGUCCGUCCUCUGAAAUGGGAUGAAGCCCAAUUAGGCGAAGUAAAAACAGAGUGAAAAUAGGUUGCAUCUCACCCUCUCUCUGGGAAAACUGUCCUAUGCCUACUCCACCUUAAAAGCGAAACGUGCACUUUUUGUGUGCAGAGACAGCACGAAGUGGGCCCCCUGCUCUUUUCAGGGAGGGAAUGUAAGCAGAUCUCUGAAGAAACCACUUGGCUCAGCAAUUUUAGGGCUUGUUGUAAUUGGCCUGGCCUAAAAGAAUUCAGCAAGCUGUACCUGUGCCAAGGAAAAUGCAAACGCUUCCCUGAAACAGAGGCGUUUAGAAUGGAGGAGAGGAGCUGGGCUCAUCUGCGAGCUUGAGUGGAACAGCAGUGGGGACAGGAGAGCUGCGACAUUGGAGAAGUUCCAAAGAGGCUGUUUCCUUGCUUAGCCACGGGUGGAAGUCACAUCCACUGAACUGUCACCUGGCAGGACUUGUCUUUGGACAAAAUUGAGAAGAACUCAUAAACUUGGCUUCCUCGCUUCUGCUCCUCAGACGCGCGUGGAUGAUUUGAAGAUAUUAGCCUAACAAGAUGGAAGCAGGUUUAAAAUUUUACAUAAGAAGUUACCUUUUUCAGUUGUGUUGAUGUUCCUUUCAGCUGGUCCUAUAGUACCCCUCCUCAGGAAUGUCUCCCCAGUGCAAGGACAAAGACUGAAGAGACUGCUAUAUUGAUGGACUCUCAAGCCAACUAUGAAGUUGAAACAAAGAAAGUGAUCACCUGAAGACACCUCCUCUGCUAAGAAACACCCCCAAAUUGUGCAGCUUCUGCCACUAGAACUCUCAGAACAAGAGACAAUCUUUUCAAGAAACAGAAAAACUCAAUAAUGACAUCUAGAUUUUCAUGAGCCAAGAACUUUCCCUUCCUCAUGUGUAUUCCUCUGUUUGUACUUAAAUUCAUGUGACAUUCAUUUUUUUCCUAGUAUGGAUAUGCUUAUUAAUGCACUUGUUUCAAAAUCCCAAAUUGCACAAAUGUGUUAAUAUUUUAAGAAACAAAAUGAAUCCUACAAGGAGAAUGAUUUUUAGCCACACAUAGGGUUGGAUCUUGAGAGUGACCUACAGAAUAAAAGUACUUUUAAAAUAAAGUAGUCAGAGGCUAUUCAAAGGGUAAAAUAAUCAUAGUACCACAUUGGUCCACUUGACACUAACCAAUCGAUCAUUUUUUUUUAAUCAAGAAAGCUAGAUUCUAUCAGAUAAAAUCACUGCUUCUAAAGAGUUUAAAUCUAGUUAGAAAAAGUUAUAGAAAUGUUUGCAAAGAUAAGUAACAGAUAGAGUCAGUAGAGGAUAAGAUCAAAAACAAAACCAAGCAAAAGAUGAGUUCAGGGGAGUUUGCCAUCAAGUUGGCAAAACUGACUUACUUAGGGAAGAAAGUUAUAAAACAGGAAAAUAUGAGAUGAACCUUGAGUGAUGUGGAAGAUUUAGAUAAAUGGAAAGGAAGGAGAAAAUGGAGUUCUUUAGGUGGUUGUAAUUGGAGGAGGAAAUGAAUACACACAUCUUGUUGACUUAAACCCAGACAUUCAGCAGCUCUCUAUACAUAUCUGGAAAAGACUGCACAGUCACCUCCUGUCUCUCACCCCAGGUAUUACUUAGAAUUAUUAUCAUAUUUCCCUUCCUUUAAAGUAAGUAAGGGUGAUUGGUGACAAUAUGGAGAACUAUGAUUUUUCCAUUAACCUAAUAAUAAUUGGUAUUUAUUGAGUUCUGUUAAGCAUUUUACAUAUUAACUCACUUAAGCCUUUCAACAGCCUUGCAAAAUAGGUAUUAUUAUCCCCAUUUUACAGGCAAGAAAACUGAGGUUUAAGUAACUUGCCGAAGUGCCAUAUACAGGGCUCACAUUCAGUAUUGCAGUUGCAAAGCUCAUGAUCUAUAGUGCCAAGUUGCAAUAUUGUAGUCAAUGUCACAAUUAUUACCCCUUUUUAUAUUCCUUGAUAUUUUUCCAUGGCAAACAAUUAGCUAUUUCAUUUAAUAAUCACCUAAAACUUUUCAGUCUUCUGAUUAAAAUUACGCUGGAGUGAUAGAAUGUAUUUUCAUGAUAGAAAUUGGGAAAAAAAAUGGGGAAUGAAGUUUAUCAGCAUUUCAGACUUGUUUUUUUUUUUUUUUUUUGCAAGACUUUGAUGAGAUUGUUCACUUUUGUCUAUGUAAAAUCCCAAAUCCUUGAGAAUAAAAAAGGGGGAGGUUUAAGUCACUUGUUGCAAUGCCCUUUUUAAUAGAGGCAAUAAAUCUAAAGGCCAUAAAUUUAGAGUGACUUACAGAAGAUCGAACUUUGGAGUGUGGCAGAGUAAGGGAUGGAAACCGGGCCCUCCAGUUCACUAUCAGUAGCUUUUGCACUGGUCUGCCCUUCCUAAAUUAAGUAUGCACUUCAAUUUGAUGAGUGGAAACAGUCUAUCUGGGCAGUAACCAGGGAGCUUUGUGCCUAGUAGAUUGCUUCUGUUCUGCACUUCUUUGGUUUCCCACCUCAAUGUAAAAAAUAGCUAGCAAUGAAGUCCAGAAGUUGUCAAUGGUUCAUCCCCAGAAGAAUGCAUAAUGUCCAAAGUUGUAUGUGUAUGAUGUCUUCAAUGGUAUUAAGUUAUUUCAAAUUCUUAGUUCACCUACAUAAAUCAUUUCUAACAAGCAUCUUCUUAACCAACUUUAUGCACAGUGUAUGUUUGUAAGUGCUUCUGCACGAAUGUUUAUACAUGACUGUUUCCAUAGUACUUAUGUUUUUAAAAAUAUUCAGUCAUUUCCUACUAUAAUCCUCAUGUAUCCAUGUAACUGACUCAAAAAUACUUCAGCCACAGAAAGCUAAAACUGAGCAAAUCUCAUUCUUCUUUUCCAUCCCCUUUGCAUGUGGCUGGCAUUUAGUAAUGAUUAAUAAUAUGGCCAGCUGAAUAACAGAGGUUUGAGACACAAUUCUUUCUCAAAGGAGUCAGCUAAGCUGGGUCUACUUAUGGACAAACAUCUAAAUGUGUGGAAGUAUCUGAUAUUUGACAAUGGUAAAUUUCCACUUAGCUAGCUAGCAUUGUCAGACUUCAAUCUCCUCAUGGCUCUGGCCGUCCUGUUUUAAGCAUGAUAAUUGUUGGCCACAUCUCACAUAGUUCUCAUUGAGUGAGUUCAUAAAUAAACAGGGUUUUUUUUUUUUUUUAAAGAGCAGCCAAGCACAAAGUGUGACUUUGUUGACAUUUUAUGUGACUUUGUCAUAUGUUCCUAACCCCCAAUAAAAGCAAUGUUGCAUCAACUGUGAA
rnacentral:lncRNA from 1 species